rnacentral:misc_RNA from 1 species
AGCAAAAAAUUCAUGAAUGCUUGACAACCCUAUUUCAGACGCAAGAGCUGUCAAAAUGUGCAUGAGUUUUGCUUUGCAUGCAUUGCAUUGAAAUUUUUCCAAAUGGAGGACUCGCCAAAAAUUGAUAAAAAGUGGACGCACGAGCGCAAAAAGUUGCUUAUCACCGUACGACUCAACCACGAAAGUGAUUUCGCAACUAAAACAAAACGUAGCACAAUUUGGCAGAAAAUUAGGCGGGAUAUACUGAAAAAAGACAAUACAUUUCCAUUUUCUCUCGAUGAAAUAAUGCGCUGCUACACCAACUUGUUGGGCACAUAUAAACGAAUAAAGAGAAGAAGCGCAAUGUCCGGCAAAGCUGCCACCAAUUGGGAGUUCUUUGAGGAAAUGGACGAAGUUUACGGCACACGCUGCAGCGUCGUUGUACCUAAGAAUACGGCGAAACGUUCUUUAGAACCAACAGAAAAUGAAAACUCUUCUUCAUCGCCUUCGCCUUCUCCUUCGGCAUCCCCAGAUGUCACGGAUACGAUAAGAACCCGAAAACGUAAAAGAAAUGAAGUUAUUGCUUUCUUGGCAACCGAAUCCGAAAAACAAGAAAAAUUGUUUGAGACGCUGGUGGCGACAGAGAAAGAAAAAAUAAGGAUUGAAAAGGAAAAAUUGUUGGAGCUAAAAGCCAUACGGAAAUUGUAUGAACGCAUUUUAGAACGCAAUAUCGACAUUAUCUAACUCCUUUUUUUAAAUUAUUAUAACCUUAACAAAGUAUAUGAAGAUUGCCAAGGUGUUUAUAAAGCCUAAAAGGUUAGAGACCCUAUAAAGUAUAUACCAAUAGAAAUGAUCAUGUCUGUAUAUACUGUAUAAACUUAUCGAACAAAAUUCUUGAAAAGAAUCUUUUGAUUUUGUGAAGGGUAUUAUAGCUUCAUUGCAAAGAAAAUUAACAUUUUUUCUUGUUUCUAGUUUCUUUUAACAUUAUAUAAUGCAUUUUUAGUAAAAAAAAAUUCUUUUAAUAUUGAAUUGUUUAUAUAAAAU